CACUAUGCUUAGCCCUAAACAUCGAUCACACCCUACACUUAACAUCCGCCCGGGAACUACGAACACCAGUUUAAAACCCAAAGGACUUGGCGGUGCUUUACAUCCACCUAGAGGAGCCUGUUCUAGAACCGAUAACCCCCGUUCAACCUCACCCUCCCUUGCUUAUCCCGCCUAUAUACCACCGUCGUCAGCUUACCCUGUGAAGGCCCAAUAGUAAGCAAAAUUGGCAUAGCCCAAAACGUCAGGUCGAGGUGUAGCGUAUGAGAGGGGAAGAAAUGGGCUACAUUCACUAGCAGUAGUGAAUUUACGAAAAAUGCAUUGAAACAUGCAAUUGAAGGAGGAUUUAGUAGUAAGCAGGAAGUAGAGUGUCCCGCUGAAACCGGCCCUAAAGCAUGCACACACCGCCCGUCACCCUCCCCGAACCCACAACCAAACCAUAAAUAAUAAACUAUAACCGCAAAGGGGAGGAAAGUCGUAA
rnacentral:rRNA from 1 species